CUUGUCACCGCUGCCAGUUGAAUGACCCCAUCAAGACUGUUGUGUCUUGCAUUCCAUUAAGGUAAAAUAAUCUUGGGAAGAGCUUGGUUUGGAUUUGAUUGGACCACUGCCAGAAACAGCACGCAACAACAAGUAUGUCCUUACCAUGACAGACCUGUACACCAAAUGGGUGAUUGCAGAACCAAUGCAAUCUAAGAUAGCAGCUGAGGUGUCUGCAAUAAUAACCACAAAGUUGUACUUGUUCGGCAUGGUUAGGAAAAUCAUUACAGACCAAGGGAAGGAGUUUGUCAACAAGGUUCUUCGCAACAUAGAGAGCACUCAGAGCAUACAACAAAAGUCAUUCCAAAAUCGCAAGCACAAGUAUGUCCGAGUAUGUUCUGUUCAGGCCAGUGAUGUUCUGCUCUCACGGGACCCCAAGAAACGACGGA